UACGUAGGGGGCGAGCGUUGUCCGGAUUUAUUGGGCGUAAAGAGCUCGUAGGCGGUUUGGUAAGUUGGAUGUGAAAUCUCCAGGCUCAACUUGGAGGGGUCAUUCGAUACUGCCAUGACUAGAGUUCGGUAGGGGAGUGUGGAAUUCCUGGUGGAGCGGUGAAAUGCGCAGAUAUCAGGAAGAACACCCGUGGCGAAGGCGGCUCUCUGGGACGGUACUGACGCUGAGACGCGAAAGCGUGGGGAGCGAACAGG
rnacentral:rRNA from 1 species